GGUGUAGCUUUGUGGUAGAGCAUGGGCCUAGCAUGUGCAAGGCUCUGGGUUCAAUCCCUAGGACCA
rnacentral:tRNA from 1 species